UUCGACAAUGAAGGUCUUAGCUCUUGUACUUCUCGUCUGCAUGCUGGUUGCCAUGGUGUCAUCACACGCCAUCUUCCCUCGGGUUUUCCCAGAACCAUUCCUUUUCCGUAGGCCAUUCUUGCUUCCAUUCGCCGAGCCAUUUGGUCUUUUCCACCACCGUUUCCCAAUCAUCGGAUAAAUUAACAUCUGAAAACAGCCUGACAGAAAAGAACCAACUCGAGUCUCAGGAUGCCUCGCCUGCUAAACGAGGGACGAUCAAAACCUGAAUAAAUUAUUCGAUCAUUUGUA